UUUGCAGCAAUAAAGCUUGCAGGAACAAUGUACAACUGUACUCAAAAGCAUCCAAGAGGUGAUGAAGAAGUCUCUGAAAUCCUCAACAGAAUCACACAGAAUUUAAUGACAUCUCAAGGACCCAGAGCACCCAUGGGGACCCAUAACUGUUACACUACUCAUGGAUUUGAAGAAAUCUUGGCUAAACUUUCCAGAUAAAACCAGACCCAAACCAGUUUGGAAUUUCCAGCCAUCAUCAAAGUCAAUUUUCCUGCUGCCUUAGUUCAGCUGCUGGGUGUGUCCACUAGCUGCCUCCUGAAAGCUCGGCAUUGCCAUGGCAACAGUUGGUGGACACACCCACCAGGAAAUGAAAGAUGUAAUUUGUAAUAACCACACGAAGCCCUGCUGCUUCCUUUCUGCUUGGAAAGCAAAAUCUUUAAUAGCUCAUGGCCCACAGUCGAAGUCAAAGACUUGUGAUUCCAGAUGGCAAAGGUCUUAGCAGCAGCCGCUGUGAUCGUUCAUGUGCAGAGAAAUCCAACUUCUAUCAGCUUUCAACAGCAGCGUGUCCAGAAAGAGAAUGAGGAAAGGUCUAAAGGCUAAUUGAAACGAGCAGACUGUGCGCCCAGAGCUGGCUGGCAGUGGGAAGCGGCACAGUGAACACUGUUCGGGCAGGGAGGCCCGCUGGGGCAACUGCAGAGGCAUCGAGAUGUGUGCUGUCUUUGUCUCUGUUCUACUGCUGUGGAGAGACACCAUGACCGACUCUCCAACGCCAGCAACCAGCACCGUCUCUUGCUUGCUGAGCUCCAGACGAAGGAGAAGGAGGAUUUUCCAGUUUGGGGCUGGUGAGAUGGCUCAGUG